GACGACGCUGGCGGCGUGGAUUAGGCAUGCAAGUCGAACGGUAUCAUCCUUCGGGGGUGAGAGAGUGGCGAACUGGUGAGUAACACGUAGGUUAUCUACCUCAAGACGGGGACAACCCAGGGAAACUUGGGCUAAUACCGGAUGUGAGCAACUUUUAAUUGUUUGAAAGGUGGCGUAAGCUGUCGCUUGGGGAUGAGCCUGCGUCCUAUUAGUUAGUUGGUGAGGUAACGGCUCACCUAGGCAAUGAUAGGUAGGCGGCCUUAACGGGUGGUCGCCCACACUGGGAUUGAGAUACGGCCCAGACUCCUACGGGAGGCAGCAGUCGAGAAUAGUCUACAAUGGUCGGAAGACUGAUAGUGCGACGCCGCGUGAACGAUGAAUCCCUUCGGGGUGUAAAAGUUCUUUUAUAUGUGAGCAGUGCUUCUUAUAUUAACAGUAUGGGGAGAGAGAUAUUAGCAUAUGAAUAAGCAACGGCUAACUCCGUG
rnacentral:rRNA from 1 species